AGCUCUACUUUAACAAAGUACUCCACAUUGAUGUACCUCCUUUUUUAAGGACAAAUCCCACAAGGAACAGUCAAUACAUGUUGAGGAAGUCUAAGAUGCAAAAAAUUAUAUUUGUUUUAUAUUUUAAUUUUUAUUCUAUUUGAAAGUAACCAAUAAGUUCUUUCACCUAUCGAUAAUGUUCCAUAUUAAAUCCAAAAGCUCACUCUAUUAUUUGAUCUUUGUUGAGGCUUUU
rnacentral:lncRNA from 1 species